rnacentral:misc_RNA from 1 species
GAUGAAGAACGUAGCGAAAUGCGAUAAGUAAUGUGAAUUGCAGAAUUAAGUGAAUCAUCGAAUCUUUGAACGCACCUUGCGCCCUUUGGCUAUUCCGAAGGGCAUGCCUGUUUGAGUAUCAUGAACACCUCAACCCUCAUGGUUUGCCAUGACGGGCUUGGACUUUGGGGGUCUUGCUGGAUUGUAGUCAGCUCCCCUUAAACAAAUCAGCUUGCCAGUGUUUGGUGGCAUCACAGGUGUGAUAACUAUCUAUGCUUGUGGUUCUACAUCAGAUAACCUUCAGUGAUGGAGGUUCACUGGAGCUCAUAAAGGUGUCUCUCCUCUGUGAGGACAGCUCUUUGAAUGUUUGAUCUCAAAUCAGGCAGGACUACCCGCUGAACUUAAGCAUAUCAAUAAGCGGAGGA